rnacentral:tRNA from 1 species
GGGGAUUUAGCUCAGUGGUAGAGUACUUGCCUAGCAAGCGCAAGGCCCUGGGUUCGAUCCCCAGCUCCA